AGUUUAUUAGCUCAGUUGGUUAGAGCAUCAUACUAAUAAUACGAAAGUUACAAGUUUGAUUCUUGCAUGGACGG
rfam:Glycine max cultivar Williams 82 chromosome 9, whole genome shotgun sequence.